rnacentral:rRNA from 1 species
GACGAACGCUGGCGGCGUGCCUAAUACAUGCAAGUAGAACGCUGAAGAGAGGAGCUUGCUCUUCUUGGAUGAGUUGCGAACGGGUGAGUAACGCGUAGGUAACCUGCCUGGUAGCGGGGGAUAACUAUUGGAAACGAUAGCUAAUACCGCAUAAAAUGGAUUAUCGCAUGAUAAUCCAUUGAAAGGUGCAAAUGCAUCACUACCAGAUGGACCUGCGUUGUAUUAGCUAGUUGGUGGGGUAACGGCUCACCAAGGCAACGAUACAUAGCCGACCUGAGAGGGUGAUCGGCCACACUGGGACUGAGACACGGCCCAGACUCCUACGGGAGGCAGCAGUAGGGAAUCUUCGGCAAUGGACGGAAGUCUGACCGAGCAACGCCGCGUGAGUGAAGAAGGUUUUCGGAUCGUAAAGCUCUGUUGUAAGAGAAGAACGAG